AGUGAACGCUGGCGGUAGGCCUAACACAUGCAAGUCGAACGGCAGCACAGUAAGAGCUUGCUCUUACGGGUGGCGAGUGGCGGACGGGUGAGGAAUACAUCGGAAUCUACUUUUUCUUGGGUGAUAACGUAGGGAAACUUACGCUAAUACCGCAUACGACCUACGGGUGAAAGCAGGGGAUCUUCGGACCUUUCGCGUUUGUAUGAGCCGAUGUCGGAUUAGCUAGUUGGCGGGGUAAAGGCCCACCAAGGCGACGAUCCGUAGCUGGUCUGAGAGGAUGAUCAGCCACACUGGAAGUGAGACACGGUCCAGACUCCUACGGGAGGCAGCAGUGGGGAAUAUUGGACAAUGGGCGAAAGCCUGAUCCAGCAAUACCGCGUGGGUGAAGAAGGCCUUCGGGUUGUAAAGCCCUUUUGUUGGGAAAGAAAAGCAGCAGGUUAAUACCCCGAUGUUCUGACGGUACCCAAAGAAUAAGCACCGGCUAACUUCGUG
rnacentral:rRNA from 1 species